UACGGAGGGUGCGAGCGUUGUCCGGAAUCACUGGGCGUAAAGGGCGCGUAGGCGGCGCGAGUAGUCAACGGUGAAAGCCCGGGGCUCAACCCCGGGUCGGCCGUCGAUACUCUCGUGCUUGAGCACUGUAGAGGCAGGUGGAAUUCCGGGUGUAGCGGUGGAAUGCGUAGAGAUCCGGAAGAACACCGGUGGCGAAGGCGGCCUGCUGGGCAGUAGCUGACACUGAGGCGCGACAGCGUGGGGAGCAAACAGG
rnacentral:rRNA from 1 species